AUUGAACGCUGGCGGCAGGCCUAACACAUGCAAGUCGAGCGAGCGGCGGACGGGUGAGUAAUGUCUGGGAAACUGCCUGAUGGAGGGGGAUAACUACUGUAAACGGUAGCUAAUACAGCAUACCAUCAGAUGUGCCCACGUUGGAUUAGCUAGUAGGUGGGGUAACGGCUCACAUAGGCGACGAUCCCUAGCUGGUCUGCGAGGAUGACCAGCCACACUGGAACUGAGACACGGUCCAGACGCCUACGGGAGGCAGCAGUGGGGAAUAUUGCACAAUGGGCGCAAGCCUGAUGCAGCCAUGCCGCGUGUGUGAAGAAGGCCUUCGGGUUGUAAAGCACUUUCAGCGGGGAGGCGUUACCCGCAGAAGAAGCACCGGCUAACUCCGUGCCAGCCGCCGCGGUAAUAC
rnacentral:rRNA from 1 species